UGCCAAGCCACCAGUAUAUUCUGAUCCAACACCACCAAGAAAGAAAUGCUUAUUUGGCAAAAAUCUUACAAGCAUUUAUGUCGACAGAAAGCUGCCUGCUCCAAUACGUGACAUGCUAUCCAUAAUUGCAGGGAAAGGACAAGAAUCAGAUCACAUAUUCGAAAGUCUACCUGAAAAUUCACACUGGUGCCUCAGAGAGAGGAAUGACAGUGAACAACUCAUUGAAUGGAUUAAAGAAUGUGGGCUUGUAAUAGCAUCUGUCUGGAAGAAAAGGACUUCAUUGCAAACAUUGAAGGAAGUUUACUUACUUCUGACUUAUAAGAGAAUUGGCUUAGCGUCCCAGAUGAAGGAACUCUGGUUGGAAAAAUUAAUGCCAUCCAAAGACCUCUACUGAAGAUUCCUCAAGCAAACUUUAUCUUUCUAAAGAAUCUCAUUUGGUAAUAGCAAUAAUAAGAGACUCAUCCAUGAAUAAUUUAGACACUAACAGGUUAUCUAUCCAGAUAGCUCCUUAUGUUUUGUGGGAUUAGACUACAAAGGACGCAUGGUUUGGGAGUGAUGUAUCAAGAAAGGUAAGGGGAUCUGACUUUUGCCUUUGGGAACAAAAUUCUCAUUGUAAUGCAGGAAGUAGGAAAACUUUGGAAAGAUAAUUUCUGUAAAAGGAAACCCUAGGAUUCCAUUCUUCUGGAGUGGAGUGGAAUAUAUAUCGAUCUGUUUCAGGAAGAUUUGGGAAGAAAGAUGGUUAAUGUAGUUUAAAAUAAGUGAAUCAUUUCAGUCUUUCUUUUGUUCUUUCUUCAUAGAUAUUGAUUUUGGCCAACAGUAUGCUUCACAUAUAAUGGUAGUCAAAGAAGACUAGAGUGAAGUUUAAAAAAAAUCCUGAUUAUCCAGGUGUUGCUUGUUUUUUUUUUUAUUCCGGCCCUAUUUUUGGAGUAUAUAAUACUUGUGUUUUACAGUAAUUAGAAUACUAUAUUAUUAAAUAUUCAUAUCAAGUGAAUUAAUGGUCAUACAAAAGUACAUUUCAUAUAUAUAUUUCAUAUGUGUGUGUGCCUAUUUGUGUGUGUGUGUAUGUAUAUGACAAAAUGGUGUAUAUUAUUUUGUAUACUUUCAAUUGCUUUACCACUAAUGUAUUCAGGUGCAGUUUUAGGUUCCUCAGGUCUCAAGGACCUCCACAUCAAGCCAGAUACACUCAAACUGAUAGAAGGAAAAGUGAGGAAGCAUCUCUAACACAUGGGCACUGGAGAAAAUUUCCUGAACAAAACACCAAUGGCUUAUGAUCUAAGACCCAGAAUCGACAAAUGAAUCUCAUAAAACUGCAAAGUGUCUGUAAGGCAAAGGACACUGUGGCUAGGACAAAACGGCAACCAACAGAUUGGGAAAAGAUCUUUACCAAUCCUACAACAGAUAGAGGCCUUAUAUCUAAAAUAUACAAAGAACUCAAGAAGUUACACCACAGGGAGACAAAUAACCCUAUUAAAAAAUGGGGUUGAGAGCUAAACAAAGAAUUCACAGAUGAGGAAUGCAGAAUGGCUGAGAAACACCUAAAGAAAUGUUCAACAUCUUUAGUCAUAAGGGAAAUGCAAAUCAAAACAACCUUGAGAUUUCACCUCACACCAGUGAGAAUGACUAAGAUCAAAAACUCAGGUGACAGCAAAUGGUGGGUGAGGAUGUGAAGAAAGAGGAACACUCCUCCAUUGUUGGUGGGAUUGCAGACUGGUACAACUAUUCUGGAAAUCAGUCUGGAGGUUCCUCAGAAUAUUGGACAUUGAACUACCUAAAGACCCAGCUAUACCCCUCUUGAUCAUAUACCCAAAAGAUGCCCCAACAUAUAAAAAAGACACAUGCUCCACUAUGCUCAUAGCAGCCUUAUUUAUAAUAGCCAGAAACUGGAAAGAACCCAUAUGCCCUUCAACAGAGGAAUGGAUACAGAAAUUGUGGUACAUCUACACAAUGGAAUAUUACUCAGCUGUCAAAAGCAAUGACUUUAUGAAAUUCAUAGGCAAAUGGAGGGAACUGGAAAAUAUCAUCCUGUGUGAGGUAAUCAAAUCACACAAAAACACACAUGGUAUGCACUGACUGAUAAGUGGCUAUUAGCCCAAAAGCUUGAAUUACCCUAGAUGCACAGAACACAUGAAACUCAAGACGGAUGAUCAAAAUGUGAAAUCUUCACUCCUUUAAAAGGGGAAAAAGAAUACCCUUGGGAGGGAAUAGGGAGACAAAGUUUAGAACAGAGGCAGAAAGAACAUCCAUUCAGAGCCUGCCCCACAUGUGGCCCAUACAUAUACAGCCACUCAAUUAGAUAAGAUGGAUGGAGCAAAGAAGUGCAGGCUUACAGAAAGUGGAUGUAGAUCUCUCCUGAGACACACAGCCAGAAUGCAGCAAAUACAUAGGCGAAUUCCAGCAGCAAACCACUGAACUGAGAAGGGGACUCCCAAUGAAGGAAUCAGAGAAAGGACUGGAAGAGCUUGAAGGGGCUCGAGACCCCAUAUGAACAACAAUGCCAACCAACCAGAGCUUCCAGGGAUUAAGCCAGUACCCAAAGACUAUACAUGGACUGACCCUGGGCUCCAACCUCAUAGCUAGCAAUGAAUAGCCUAGUAAGAGCACCAGUGGAAGGGGAAGCCGUUGGUCCUGCUAAGACUGAACCCCCAGUGAACGUGACUGUUGGGGGGAGAACCAUAAUGG